GAUCCUGGCUCAGGAUGAACGCCUAGCGACAGGCUUAACACAUGCAAGUCGAGGGGCAGCACGGUGUAGCAAUACACUGGUGGCGACCGGCGCACGGGUGAGUAACACGUGUGCAACCAACCCCGUACCGGGAGAUAACCCGCGGAAACGUGGACUAACAUCCCAUAACACUCUAGAGCCGCAUGGUUCUGGAUUUAAAAUUCUGGUGGUACGGGACGGGCACGCGCGACAUUAGGUAGUUGGCGGGUACGGACCG
rnacentral:rRNA from 1 species